GAUGAACGCUAGCUACAGGCUUAACACAUGCAAGUCGAGGGGUAACGAGAGGAAAGCUUGCUUUCCUUGUCGACGACCGGCGCACGGGUGAGUAACGCGUAUCCAACCUGCCCCCAACUAGGGAAUAACCUUGCGAAAGUAAGACUAAUACCCUAUAAUUUCCUCAGAUGACAUCUGACGAGGAAUAAAGAUUUAUCGGUUGUGGAUGGGGAUGCGUCUGAUUAGCUUGUUGGCGGGGUAACGGCCCACCAAGGCAACGAUCAGUAGGGGUUCUGAGAGGAAGGUCCCCACAAUGGGAACUGAGACACGGUCCAAACUCCUACGGGAGGCAGCAGUGAGGAAUAUUGGUCAAUGGGCGGAAGCCUGAACCAGCCAAGUAGCGUGCAGGAUGACGGCCCUAUGGGUUGUAAACUGCUUUUAUACAGGAAUAAAGUUAGCCACGUGUGGUUAUUUGUAGGUACUGUAUGAAUAAGGACCGGCUAAUUCCGUGCCAGCCGCCGCCGUAA
rnacentral:rRNA from 1 species